UGGCCGGUCCCCCUCACCGGGUGCACUGAUCCAGCCGGGCCUUUCCCUCUGUGGAACCCCAUGGCCUUCACUGGCUGUGGCGGGGGAAAAGGACUUUUACUUUGAAAAAAUUAGAGUGCUCCAGGCAGGCCUAUGCUCGAAUACAUUAGCAUGGAAUAAUAGAAUAGGACGUGUGGUUCUAUUUUGUUGGUUUCUGGGACCGCCGUAAUGAUUAAUAGGGACAGUCGGGGGCAUCAGUAUUCAAUUGUCAGAGGUGAAAUUCUUGGAUCUAUUGAAGACUAACUACUGCGAAAGCAUUUGCCAAGGAUGUUUUCAUUGAUAAGGAACGAAAGUUAGGGGAUCGAAGACGAUCAGAUACCGUCGUAGUCUUAACU
rnacentral:rRNA from 1 species